UACGGGGGGGGCAAGCGUUGUUCGGAAUUACUGGGCGUAAAGGGGACGUAGGCGGCCAACUAAGUCCGACGUGAAAUCCCAAGGCUUAACCUUGGAACUGCGUCGGAUACUGGAUGGCUUGAAUUCGGGAGAGGGAUGCAGAAUUCCAGGUGUAGCGGUGAAAUGCGUAGAUAUCGGGAGGAACACCCGUAGCGAAGGCGGCACUCUGGGCCGGAACUGACGCUGAGGAGCGAAAGCGUGGGGAGCAAACAGG
rnacentral:rRNA from 1 species